GCUUUACAUGAGGCUGCGCUGGAAGAUGGUCUGGAAGCUACAGCCAGUGCAAAAUGCAGCAGCCAGAAGGUACCUCAUGUUCCAUUGAGAAGCCCAGCAGAGUGGCCAAAGUCCAGCUGUAGCCACGGUUUCCUUUGCAUUGACUUCUUUCUUCUGAACUGGUCUUAGCUGAGUAAUUAGACAGCACAGCGUAUUGGAUUAGCACACAUCAGUGAUGCAUAUUAAUCACAGAAUGGAGACAGAGCACUACGAGAUGCAGCAGAAGCUCGGUGAGUACCCAUUUAUACACAAACGGAAAAAUAAUAGUCUUUCUAUUUCAGACGGCAUGACAUUUUAUAGGUAAAUGUUAAUUUCGUUUUCACUUGGGAGGAGCCACUUAGCUUACCAUAGACCACAUGAUCUGCAUGUGCAUGUCCCACAUUUACUGACCAGCAUCUCUAGUUAAGAGGAUCUGAGUAGUAGCCUGGCUAGCAAAGACCUCUGUCUGCUUCCAGAUGACAGUGUGAGCUGUCUUGGAAAAGUACUCAGAAAUUACAACAGGUUCACAAUGCAGCUGCCAGAUUAUUUGACCAGAUAGGUAACAGGAACGUCCAUUUGCAAACAGUUGCACUAGCUCACUAUACAGUUUCUAGGCUCAAAUU